AAAAAAGUAUCAGAGUGGUGUGAAGCGUUUUCAGAGUACCUUGUAUUGCUGGACUUGAUGUUUUAAGUUCAAGACUGUAGAUCCACAGAGCAAUGGGCAAUGUUGGCUGCAAUCGUGGGGAAGAGUCUUGCGGUACCUUAAAGAUCAGCAGACUGUGCUUUGACAAUUUCCUGCUCACACUGACUAUCUGCAGGGAACCCAAGCAAAUGGCUAGCAGGAAGGUCACUUGCAUCCUUUUCUUUGUUUUCGUGGAACCAUUGCCUAAUGUAAAUACAGUAAAAGUUCUAUCAGCUGGGGAGACUUGUUCCCUUCUUUGAAGCUAGCUCUUGUUUCUCUGAAGUCAGAUUCCUUAUUCCCAGGGCUCCACUCUGCAAUGCCAGCACAAACAUACAUCAGCAGCUGCACAGCACUUUCCAGAGUUAGCAAGAAGCUAUCAAGCAAUUACUUAUUCCACUUUAGAUCCAUGACCGUGAUUUUACACCACAGGUCUGAGAAAAUCAAAGACAAUGAGUAAAGUCAACAGUUGCAGAAAGCAAGGUCAUGUGGACAAAGAAAUGGACUACACCUGACUGUAUUUAAUUUGAACGAUAAUAUUUGAUAAGAUGCCACACUAUAACCCCAGUGAAAAUGUUGUGUUGAAUAGUUUGGGUAAGGCAUUGUCUUAAUUUUUCAACCUUGGCUACUAUUGUGGUCUCCAGUUUAGGGGGGGGGGAAGCAUCUAUAGUGGUGUGGCGGCCUUUGUAUGUGCCUACCACAUAGAUGAGUGAUGU